rnacentral:tRNA from 1 species
GGGGGCGUAGCUCAGCUGGGAGAGCAUCAGGUUCGCAAUCUGAGGGUCAAGGGUUCGAUCCCCUCCGUCUCCA